ensembl:lncRNA
AGCCAAUCAAGGACUUCUGAAGAAGUUAAUCAGCUGGAGCAGCAGAUACAAGUUAACGGAUGAAACCAAGCUGCCCAAUACGACAGCAAAGAAAGGAAAUUCACCAAUCUUGGCUAAAGACUCAAGCUACCUUCUGUGGAUGGUGAAUGCUGAUAGACAGCAUUACUGCUGGGAAGCAGAACAGUGCUGCCAGGUUCACAGUUUUCCAGUUUCCACACUGGAAAAUGCAGUCAUGGGUGAAAAAUGUAAAGUCACAAGCCUCAGAGAAGCAGUGUGUUGCUCCAAUACUAGGCAGCAGCCUUCAGGAUCGAUGAGCACAUGGCACAUCUCCGAC